AUCGCUUCUCGGCCUUUUGGCUAAGAUCAAGUGUAGUAUCUGUUCUUAUCAGUUUAAUAUCUGAUACGUCCCCUAUCAGGGGACUAUAUAUUAAACGGAUUUUUGGCACAGGGAGUCGGAGAAGGAGCUUGCUCCGUCCGCUUCAAGCAUUGACCCGUUAUUGCAGUGCGUUCGGGAACGGUGCGCCUCUC